rnacentral:tRNA from 1 species
GCCAGGAUGACAGAACCCGGUGAUCGUGCUCGUCUCGAAAACGAGUCCCGCAAGGGAUUGCAGGUUCAAAUCCUGCUCCUGGCG